GAUGAACGCUAGCGGGAGGCCUAACACAUGCAAGCCGAGCGGUAUUGUUUUUUUGGAAAUGCUAGAGCGGCGUACGGGUGCGUAACACGUGUGCAACCUGCCUUUCUCUGGGGUAUAGCCUUUCGAAAGGAAGAUUAAUACGCCAUAAUAUAUUGAACGGCAUCGUUUAAUAUUGAAAGCUCCGGCGUUUAGAGUUGGGCACGCGUAAGAUUAGCUAGUUGGUGAUGUAAUGGCUCACCAAGGCGAUGAUCUUUAGGGGGCCGGAGAGGGUGAUCCCCCACAAUGGUACUGAGACACGGACCAGACUCCUACGGGAGGCAGCGGUGAGGAAUAUUGGUCAAGGGGGGCAAACCUGGAACAGCCACCCCGCGUGAAGGACGACUGCCUUAUGGGUUGUAAACUUCUUUUGUAUAAGGAUAAACCUACCCUCGAGAGGGUAGCUGAAGGUACUAUACGAAUAAGCACCGGCUAACUCCGUG
rnacentral:rRNA from 1 species